rnacentral:rRNA from 1 species
CUAUGCGCCUUGCCAGCCCGCUCAGGUGUGCCAGCCGCCGCGGUAAUACGGAGGAUGCGAGCGUUAUCCGGAUUUAUUGGGUUUAAAGGGUGCGUAGGCGGAUUUUUAAGUCAGCGGUAAAAUGUCCGGGCUCAACCCGGGCCGGCCGUUGAAACUGGGGAUCUUGAGUGGGCGAGAAGUAUGCGGAAUGCGUGGUGUAGCGGUGAAAUGCAUAGAUAUCACGCAGAACUCCGAUUGCGAAGGCAGCAUACCGGCGCCGACUGACGCCGAGGCACGAAAGCGUGGGGAUCGAACAGG